rnacentral:rRNA from 1 species
ACGCUGGCGGCAGGCCUAACACAUGCAAGUCGAGCGGUGGAGAGGUGCUUGCACCUCUUGAGAGCGGCGGACGGGUGAGUAAUACCUAGGAAUCUGCCUGGUAGUGGGGGAUAACGUUCGGAAACGGACGCUAAUACCGCAUACGUCCUACGGGAGAAAGCAGGGGACCUUCGGGCCUUGCGCUAUCAGAUGAGCCUAGGUCGGAUUAGCUAGUUGGUGAGGUAAUGGCUCACCAAGGCUACGAUCCGUAACUGGUCUGAGAGGAUGAUCAGUCACACUGGAACUGAGACACGGUCCAGACUCCUACGGGAGGCAGCAGUGGGGAAUAUUGGACAAUGGGCGAAAGCCUGAUCCAGCCAUGCCGCGUGUGUGAAGAAGGUCUUCGGAUUGUAAAGCACUUUAAGUUGGGAGGAAGGGCAUUAACCUAAUACGUUAGUGCUUUGACGUUACCGACAGAAUAAGCACCGGCUAACUCUGUGCCAGCAGCCGCGGUAAUACAGAGGGUGCAAGCGUUAAUCGGAAUUACUGGGCGUAAAGCGCGCGUAGGUGGUUUGUUAAGUUGAAUGUGAAAUCCCCGGGCUCAACCUGGGAACUGCAUCCAAAACUGGCAAGCUAGAGUAUGGUAGAGGGUAGUGGAAUUUCCUGUGUAGCGGUGAAAUGCGUAGAUAUAGGAAGGAACACCAGGGGCGAAGGCGACUACCUGGACUGAUACUGACACUGAGGUGCGAAAGCGUGGGGAGCAAAC